UUUCCGUAGGUGAACCUGCGGAAGGAUCGUUAACGAGUUAGGGUCUUCUAGGCCCGACCUCCCAACCCUUUGUUUACUGAACCAUUGUUACCUCGGUGGGUCCGUCUUACGACCGCCGGGGGAUCGCCGCGAGGCGCCCCCUGGCCAGCGCCCACCGAUAGCCCAACCUUUAAAACCCUUUGUGAAUCGUGUCUUAUGUCUAAAUUUAUGAUUAAACAAUCAAAACAAAACUUUCAACAACAGAUCUCUUGGUUCUG
rnacentral:misc_RNA from 1 species